GUUUAGUAGUGAAUAAACGCCAUUUGCCUCACUUACUCCUGGGGUCUGGGUGAGCAUCUGGCCCCGACCUGGUAAAGGGUCGGUUUCGCCCAGCAGUAAGCCCUACAUGUGGACAGAGGACGAACACCGGACGAGCGAACGGAGACUACAUGCAACAAGUGGUGACCCCGACGUGAUCUGUCUGCUGAGGGUGGCUGCCCGGCGUGCCCGUGACGCGGAGAAGAGCCUGUGAGGUGGCGGCAGGUCGCGCACGGAAGACGUACUGCGGUUAAGAGCCUGCGAGGUGGCGGCAGGUCGCAUACGUAACAAUGGACCAAGUCAUUAAGGAUGCUUGCCUUCAACGAAUGAUGGACAAGACUUUUGACUAUCACAUUGAGUAUCAUAGAUUGCGUGAAAAAUUAUAGAGGGGUUUAGGUUGUUGCGUUCGUGCUGUAACGGGGCAAGGCUUGGCCGAGCACGGAAAAGAAUUCCCUGUUGCUCUGAUGAUUGCUUAAGAACUGUAGUAGAAAAUAGUAGGAAUAGUGUGCUGAAAUAUAUUUAGGAUUAGGUGUGUGUGUAAGUAGUAUUUAGCUUAGGGAGGGGGAGAUGUUGUAGUAGGCGUCUUGCGGGGGCACGGGAUGUACGGGACAGGCCUCUCCCUAAACAUAGAGAGAUAGUGCUAUCGUGCUGACCUUGUUGCAGAGAAAACAGGAGAAGAAGAAGGAUGAUAAAAGAAUGUGGAAAUGGCCAAAUAAGGCACAAUGUUAUCUGGUGUGAACUAAUCAGAGUGGGACAUGACAGCACGGUUAUCUAGGUAAAAAUGUAUAUAAGCUGUGUUUAGUAGUGAAUAAACGCCAUUUGCCUCACUUACUCCUGGGGUCUGGGUGAGCAUCUGGCCCCGACCUGGUAAAGGGUCGGUUUCGCCCAGCAGUAAGCCCUACAUGUGGACAGAGGACGAACACCGGACGAG
rnacentral:lncRNA from 1 species